AUGAGAAGAGACUGGCCUCCAGUAGCAGGUAAGCAGCUCCGCCCAGCGAAAGGACCGUUGACUCUGCAAGGCUCAGGGCUCCAAAUCCCUCGUGCGCAGCGAAGAAGAUUCCUUCAGACGCUCCUUGAAUCCAAGGUAGGAGAAAAUUAUGAGCAGCAGAGCACUGCACGUGUGUACACGAUCCUAUUCCUUUACAACCUUCCGACCCAGAAAAUGCCCAGAGGCGGCAGGAGAGCGAGGCCGAGGAGGACGCAGGGCGCGACCCGAGGCCGCAGCCGCCCCCCCCCGCCCCCGCCCCUGCCCCCGUAGAGGAGCCACGUGGUCCUGAGAAAACUAACAAAAAAUGAAUUUUAGGACCGAAAUGAAACCAAAGGUUUACAGCACCAUUUUUAUAAUUUCAAAUAUAAAUUUGCUGAGAUAGAAGGGAAAUCUUUAACCCCAACUAGGACACGUGAAACAUCUACACCUCAUUCCAUUCCUCUAAGCAACACUGUGCUUACCCACCAGGGAGAAGAAAACAUGUUAUAUUUCAAGUACGUUUGUCUCCAAAAUCCUGAAACUAACGGCCCGUGUCGCUAAGACGGUAAACCAGGGGCGCGGCUGCCCCUGUGCUCGAGCUUCGGCGCGGCCUCCCCGGCGGCCGCUGAGUCCCCGCAGUCGCGGCCCGCGCCGAGCCGGUGGCAGCCGGCAGUGUGGCCGGCCCGGUCCGGGUCGAGUUGGCGCGUUGCCCGGGGAACCCGGGGGGCCCACUGCCCCCCUACCGGGUAGCGGGACUUGCUCCCAGUUAUCUUUACGUCCCUGCACCAACAGGACGGAUGGAGGCCGGGAAAACUGCUGCCGAGCCCCACCCGCACCACGCAGUGUGACUUCCCAGCGUCUCCCGGGCCGCGUGCCAUCCACAUGCGGGUCCCCUCCGAGGUCUAAGAAAGCAGGCGUCGGGAGCGCCUCCGCGUGAGCCCCCUGGCGGCCUGCUCGGGCCCAGCGCACCGGCCUACCCCGCGCCCCACGUACC
rnacentral:lncRNA from 1 species